rnacentral:tRNA from 1 species
GCCGAGAUAGCUCAGUUGGUAGAGCAUUCCCAUGGUAAGGGAAAGGGCACGAGUUCAAGUCUCGUUCUCGGCU